rnacentral:rRNA from 1 species
CGCUGGCGGCAGGCUUAACACAUGCAAGUCGAGCGGUAACAGGAGAAGCUUGCUUCUCGCUGACGAGCGGCGGACGGGUGAGUAAUACUUAGGAAUCUGCCCGGUAGUGGGGGAUAGCUCGGGGAAACUCGAAUUAAUACCGCAUACACCCUACGGGGAAAAGGGGGCGCUUGCGCUCUCGCUAUUGGAUGAGCCUAAGUCGGAUUAGCUAGUUGGUGGGGUAAAGGCCUACCAAGGCGACGAUCUGUAGCUGGUCUGAGAGGAUGAUCAGCCACACCGGGACUGAGACACGGCCCGGACUCCUACGGGAGGCAGCAGUGGGGAAUAUUGGACAAUGGGGGCAACCCUGAUCCAGCCAUGCCGCGUGUGUGAAGAAGGCCUUUUGGUUGUAAAGCACUUUAAGCAGUGAAGAAGACCUAACGGUUAAUACCCGUUAGCGAUGACAUUAGCUGCAGAAUAAGCACCGGCUAACUCUGUGCCAGCAGCCGCGGUAAUACAGAGGGUGCAAGCGUUAAUCGGAAUUACUGGGCGUAAAGCGAGCGUAGGUGGCUUGAUAAGUCAGAUGUGAAAUCCCCGGGCUUAACCUGGGAACUGCAUCUGAUACUGUCAGGCUAGAGUAGGUGAGAGGGAGGUAGAAUUUCAGGUGUAGCGGUGAAAUGCGUAGAGAUCUGAAGGAAUACCGAUGGCGAAGGCAGCCUCCUGGCAUCAUACUGACACUGAGGUUCGAAAGCGUGGGUAGCAAACAGGAUUAGAUACCCUGGUAGUCCACGCCGUAAACGAUGUCUACUAGUCGUUGGGGAACUUGAUUCCUUAGUGACGCAGCUAACGCAAUAAGUAGACCGCCUGGGGAGUACGGCCGCAAGGUUAAAACUCAAAUGAAUUGACGGGGGCCCGCACAAGCGGUGGAGCAUGUGGUUUAAUUCGAUGCAACGCGAAGAACCUUACCUGGUCUUGACAUAUCUAGAAUCCUGCAGAGAUGCGGGAGUGCCUUCGGGAAUUAGAAUACAGGUGCUGCAUGGCUGUCGUCAGCUCGUGUCGUGAGAUGUUGGGUUAAGUCCCGCAACGAGCGCAACCCUUUUCCUUAGUUACCAGCGGUUUGGCCGGGGACUCUAAGGAUACUGCCAGUGACAAACUGGAGGAAGGCGGGGACGACGUCAAGUCAUCAUGGCCCUUACGACCAGGGCUACACACGUGCUACAAUGGUAGGUACAGAGGGCAGCUACACAGCGAUGUGAUGCGAAUCUCAAAAAGCCUAUCGUAGUCCAGAUUGGAGUCUGCAACUCGACUCCAUGAAGUAGGAAUCGCUAGUAAUCGCGGAUCAGAAUGCCGCGGUGAAUACGUUCCUGGGCCUUGUACACACCGCCCGUCACACCAUGGGAGUUGAUUGCACCAGAAGUGGGUAGCCUAACUUUUAGAGGGCGCUCACCACGGUGUG